CGUCGCUGCCGCUCUUGACCAGGGAGGCAGACUGGGGCCCUCCGCUCCGGACCGAAGAACAGAUAAGUGCUGGCAACCGCAACAGGGCGCCAGACCAACAAGAAAUUUCGGAUGUACGCGCAUCUCGGAUGAGAUGUGAACACCC
rnacentral:sRNA from 17 species